rnacentral:rRNA from 1 species
GGGUGAGUAACGCGUGAGUAACCUGCCUUCAAGAGGGGGAUAACAUUCUGAAAAGAAUGCUAAUACCGCAUGAUAUAUCGGAAUCACAUGAUUUUGAUAUCAAAGAUUUUAUCGCUUGAAGAUGGACUCGCGUCCGAUUAGUUAGUUGGUGAGGUAACGGCUCACCAAGACCGCGAUCGGUAGCCGGACUGAGAGGUUGAACGGCCACAUUGGGACUGAGACACGGCCCAGACUCCUACGGGAGGCAGCAGUGGGGGAUAUUGCGCAAUGGGGGCAACCCUGACGCAGCAACGCCGCGUGAAGGAUGAAGGUUUUCGGAUUGUAAACUUCUUUUAUUAAGGACGAAACUUGACGGUACUUAAUGAAUAAGCUCCGGCUAACUACGUGCCAGCAGCCGCGGUAAUACGUAGGGAGCAAGCGUUGUCCGGAUUUACUGGGUGUAAAGGGUGCGUAGGCGGCUUUGCAAGUCAGAUGUGAAAUCUAUGGGCUCAACCCAUAAACUGCAUUUGAAACUGUAGAGCUUGAGUGAAGUAGAGGCAGGCGGAAUUCCCCGUGUAGCGGUGAAAUGCGUAGAGAUGGGGAGGAACACCAGUGGCGAAGGCGGCCUGCUGGGCUUUAACUGACGCUGAGGCACGAAAGCGUGGGUAGCAAACAGGAUUAGAUACCCUGGUAGUCCACGCUGUAAACGAUGAUUACUAGGUGUGGGGGGUCUGACCCCUUCCGUGCCGGAG